UAGGGGGCAAGUGUUAUCCGGAUUUACUGGGCGUAAAGGGAGCGUAGACGGCAUGGCAAGUCCGGAGUGAAAGCCCACAGCCCAACUGUGGGACUGCUCUGGAAACUGCCAGGCUGGAGAACGGGAGGGGCAGGCGGAAUUCCUGGUGUAGCGGUGAAAUGCGUAGAUAUCAGGAGGAACACCGGCGGCGAAGGCGGCCUGCUGGACCGUGACUGACGUUGAGGCUCGAAAGCGUGGGGAGCAAA
rnacentral:rRNA from 1 species